rnacentral:rRNA from 1 species
AUUGAACGCUGGCGGCAGGCCUAACACAUGCAAGUCGAGCGAGCGGCCGACGGGUGAGUAAUGCAUGGGUAUCUGCCCGACCGAGCUGGAUACCUACUGGAACCGGUCGCCUACUCCGCCUUCUGUCGGUUGUACCCAUCUGGGAUUAGCUAGUAGGUAAGGUAAUGGCUUACCUAGGCGACGGUCCAUAGCUGGUCUGAGAGGAUGAUCAGCCACACUGGAACUGAGACACGGCCCAGACUCCUACGGGAGGCAGCAGUGGGGAAUAUUGCACAAUGGGCGCAAGCCUGAUGCAGCCAUGCCGCGUGUAUGAAGAAGGCCCUAGGGUUGUAAAGUACUUUCAGUCGGGAGGCGUUACCGACAGAAGAAGCACCGGCUAACCCCGGGCCAGCAGCCGCGGUAAUUC